CGCCCCAUCAAUUGUUGACGGUAAGGUAGUGGCUUACCGUGGUUACAACGGGUAACGGGGAAUCAGGGUUCGAUUCCGGAGAGGGAGCAUGAGAAAUGGCUGCCAGAUCUAUGGAUUGCAGCAGGUGCGUAAAUUAUCCACUUUUGGCAUAAAGAGAUAGUGAUCAUAAAUAACGGAUCCGGGCAUUAGCCUGGAGAUCGUAAUGAAAUAACUGUAAAUGCUUUACUUAAAGCAAUUGGAGGGCAAGUCUGGUGCCAGCAGCCGCGGUAAUUCCAGUUCCAAUAGUGUAUACUAAAGUUGCUGCAGUUGAAAAGCUCGUAGUUGGAUCUCGGUUUACUUGUGUGUCGAGGCACGCAUGUGUACCUAAGCUGUGUCGUUGACAUGGUGUUACCUUGAAUAAAUCAGAGUGCUUAAAGCAAGCAGUAUGCUUGAAUGUCUCAGCAUGGAAUAAUAGAAUACGGCUUUUCUAUUGGUUUUCCAGUGGCAAAGCAAUGAUUAACAGAGACAGACGGGGGCAUUCGUAUUGCACCGUUAGAGGUGAAAUUCGUAGAUCGGUGCAGGACGAACUAUAGCGAAAGCAUUUGCCAAGAAUGUUUUCAUUAAUCAAGAACGAAAGUUGGAGUAUCGAAGUCGAUUAGAUCUCGUCGUAGUUCCAACUAUAAACGAUGCCAACUAGCACUCCGCCAGUAAUACGUUGUUGCACUGGUGUGUGGCUUCCGGGAAACCAAAGUCUUUGGGCUCCGGGGGAAGUAUGGUUGCAAAGCUGAAACUUAAAGGAAUUGACGGAAGGGCACCACCAGGAGUGGAGCUUGCGGCUUAAUUUGACUCAACACAGAAAAACUCACCCGGGCCGAACACAAUGGUGAUUGACAGAUUGAUAGCUCUUUCUUGAUAUUGUGAGUAGUGGUGCAUGGCCGUUGUUGGUUGGUGGAGUGAUUUGUCUGGUUUAUUCCGAUAACGAACGAGACUCUGACCUACUUAUUAGUAGUUAGAUUCAUGUCUAACAACUACUAAGAGGGAUUAGUGUAAAAAACACUUGAAAAAGAGCAAUAACAGGUCUGUGAUUGCCCUUAGACGUUCGGGGCCGCACGCGUGCUACAAUAAAGAAGUCAAUGGGAGUCUCGCUUGUCAGAGCGAGCUUCGCCUAAAAAUUUCUUUGUGGCAGGAAUCGAGGCUUGUAAUUAUUCCUCGUGCACAAGGAAUUCCUAGUAAUUGCAGAUCAUUAGUCUGCAGUGACUACGUCCCUGCCCUUUGUACACACCGCCCGUCA
rnacentral:rRNA from 2 species